GACGAACGCUGGCGGCGUGCUUAACACAUGCAAGUCGAACGGACAGGCCCUGCUCUUGUGGGUUGCUCGUGUGGCGAACGGGUGAGUAACACGUGAGUAAAAUGCACUUGUAUUUGGGAUAACUUUUGGAAACUCGGGCUCAUACCGGAUAGAAGAUAUUGCAGCAUGGUGGUGGUUGGAAAGAUUCGGCGGUUCGGGAUGGAUUAGAGGGUUAUCAGCUUGUUGGUGGGGUAGUGGCUUACCAAGGCUUUGACGGGUAGCCAGCCUGAGAGGGUGACCGGCGACAUUGGGACUAAGGUACGGCGCAGUCGGCUACCUGAGGCAACGGGGGAGAAUAUUACACAGUGGGCCGAAGCCUGAGACAGCAACGCCGCGUGCGGGAUGACGGGCUUCGAGGUGUAAACCGCUUUCUCCUUUGACGAGGCGGGAUUGACGGUAAUGAGUAAGGAAGCAACGGCUAACUACGUG
rnacentral:rRNA from 1 species